AACGAACGCUGGCGUCAUGCCUAACACAUGCAAGUCGAACGAGACCUUCGGGUCUAGUUGCGCACGGGUGCGUAACGCGUGGGAACCUGCCCUUAGGUUCGGAAUAACUCCCCGAAAGGGGUGCUAAUACCGGAUAAUGUCUUCGGACCAAAGAUUUAUCGCCUUUGGAUGGGCCCGCGUUGGAUUAGCUAGUUGGUAGGGUAAAAGCCUACCAAGGAGACGAUCCAUAGCUGGUCUGAGAGGAUGAUCAGCCACACUGGGACUGAGACACGGCCCAGACUCCUACGGGAGGCAGCAGUGGGGAAUAUUGGACAAUGGGCGAAAGCCUGAUCAAGCAAUGCCGCGUGAGUGAUGAAGGCCUUAGGGUUGUAAAGCUCUUUUAGCCGGGAUGAUAAUGACAGUACCGGGAGAAUAAGCUCCGGCUAACUACGUG
rnacentral:rRNA from 1 species